UCUGUGUCGGUGUUUUUUUGUAUUGUCAUGCACGUUAAAUGUCAGAAAUUAACUGAAUUUAAAAAUUAACCCUUCCCGUACAUAUACCGAUCCUUAAUAAUUGUUCCAAUACGUACUGCACGUAGGGAUCACGGAUCAUAAUAAUUAUACGGAGACUGCGUUGUAGCAUUCAGGGUUUUGUGCGUAUCAACCGUGCUAAAGUGACUUGAUAUAAUGGCUAGUUAUGAGCGACAAGCAAGUUUCUCAUCCGCAGACUUACCUGGAUUAGUUAUGCACGAAGUAAACUCAAAAUUAUCACCCUUCUGCUCCGAACAUCCGGAUUUGUGGUUUGCGAAGGCAGAAGCAGUAUUUUCUUUAUCAGGAAUAACGAACGAUGAGACAAAAUAUAAUUGCGUGAUUUCUCAUAUCGAUGCAACAGAGGCAAAGGACCUUGUCACAAAAACUCCGAUCCAAGGCAGUCGAUAUGAGUGGAUAAAGGAAGAAAUGUUGCAGCGUUUCUCACGAUCAGAAGUGCGGUGGCGACAGAUAUUCGAAGACGAGCUAGGAGAUCGGCGACCGUCACAAUUCCUGCGCUCCUUGAAGUGGUUAUUAAGUAAAGAUUCUGUUGAUGAUGUGUUUUUAAGACAGUUAUGGUUGCGACGGCUACCAGUCGAUGUCCAAGCAAUCUUGCAAGCCCAGUGGGAUUUACCAAUUGAAAAAAUAGCUGAAAUAGCAGACAGGAUUAUGGAUGUCAAAUCUAUAUCUGUAAAUACAGCAAAGUCAAAACCACCCUCACCUGAUUACAGUAAUUUAGAGAAACAAAUAGCUGAUCUCACGAGGCAAGUUGCCGCUCUCAAAACUCAAAACCAAUAUAAACGUAAUUCUCGACACAGAUCCAAAUCCAGAAGUCAAAGCCGCCACCGCCGCGAUAGUUCCGCAAUAUGUUUCUAUCAUAAUAGGUAUGUGCGUAAUGCGAAAAAAUGCAUGCAACCUUGCUCGUGGAACUGAGAAUACCGAUAAAAAAGUUACCACAGCGACUAUUGAUGCAUUGGUUAACUGUAUCGCGUUAGCCGUCGAGACUAGUGUCAGUUUUUAAAUUUGAUAAAGUUAAAUUAGCUUUUAUGUUAAGGUUAAAUUGCCAUGGCCGUCGAAAUGUAAGGCCUAGACAGAUUCAGAUAACAUAUUUCUGCGUAACCCCAAAUAUUUCUUAAGAUUGUAAAGAGUAAAAUAAAUUAGAUAUUAAAAUAA